CGGCCCGAACUCUACGGGAGGCAGCAGUGGGGGAAUAUUGGACAAUGGGGGCAACCCUGAUCCAGCCAUGCCGCGUGUGUGAAGAAGGCCCUCGGGUUGUAAAGCACUUUCAGCGAGGAAGAACGCCUAGUGGUUAAUACCCAUUAGGAAAGACAUCACUCGCAGAAGAAGCACCGGCUAACUCCGUGCCAGCAGCCGCGGUAAUACGGAGGGUGCAAGCGUUAAUCGGAAUUACUGGGCGUAAAGCGCGCGUAGGUGGCUUGAUAAGCCGGUUGUGAAAGCCCCGGGCUCAACCUGGGAACGGCAUCCGGAACUGUCAGGCUAGAGUGCAGGAGAGGAAGGUAGAAUUCCCGGUGUAGCGGUGAAAUGCGUAGAGAUCGGGAGGAAUACCAGUGGCGAAGGCGGCCUUCUGGACUGACACUGACACUGAGGUGCGAAAGCGUGGGUAGCAAACAGGAUUAGAUACCCUGGUAGUCCACGCCGUAAACGAUGUCGACCAGCCGUUGGGUGCCUAGCGCACUUUGUGGCGAAGUUAACGCGAUAAGUCGACCGCCUGGGGAGUACGGCCGCAAGGUUAAAACUCAAAUGAAUUGACGGGGGCCCGCACAAGCGGUGGAGCAUGUGGUUUAAUUCGAUGCAACGCGAAGAACCUUACCUACCCUUGACAUCGACAGAAGCCGAGAGAGAUCUUGGUGUGCCUUCGGGAACUGUCAGACAGGUGCUGCAUGGCUGUCGUCAGCUCGUGUUGUGAAAUGUUGGGUUAAGUCCCGUAACGAGCGCAACCCUUGUCCUUAUUUGCCAGCACGUAAUGGUGGGAACUCUAAGGAGACUGCCGGUGACAAACCGGAGGAAGGUGGGGACGACGUCAAGUCAUCAUGGCCCUUACGGGUAGGGCUACACACGUGCUACAAUGGCCGGUACAAAGGGCAGCGAACUCGCGAGAGUCAGCGAAUCCCUUAAAGCCGGUCUCAGUCCGGAUCGGAGUCUGCAACUCGACUCCGUGAAGUCGGAAUCGCUAGUAAUCGUGAAUCAGAAGC
rnacentral:rRNA from 1 species